GUCCCCAGCUGUCCCCAACCCUGUCCCCGACCCUGUCCCCAACCCUGUCCCUGUCCCCAACCCUGUCCCCAUUGUCACCCUGGGGUUGGGGUGUCCCCAAGGUGUCCCCGAGGUGUCCCCGAGGUGUCCCCAGGGGUGUCCUGGUGUCCCCGAGGUGUCCCGAGGUGUCCCCGAGGUGUCCCCAAGGUGUCCCCGAGGUGUCCCCGAGGGUGUCCUGGUGUCCCCGAGGUGUCCCCGAGGUGUCCCCGAGGGUGACCCCGCUCCCGUGUCCCCCAGGCCGCCGUCCCCGAGGCGCCGCCGUCCCCCGGCGAUGGCAGCGAGGCCGAGGGGCCCCGGAAGGGGGAGGAGGAGGAGGGGCCCGGCCACAGAGAGCCCGAGGCCGAAGGAGCCCCGGCCCGCGAGGAGCGGCCAGGUGCCGAGGCCGAGAAGGGGGCGGGGCCAGAGAAAG
rnacentral:lncRNA from 1 species